rnacentral:rRNA from 1 species
CAGCCGCCGCGGUAAUACGGAGGGAGCUAGCGUUGUUCGGAAUUACUGGGCGUAAAGCGCGCGUAGGCGGUUACUCAAGUCAGAGGUGAAAGCCCGGGGCUCAACCCCGGAACUGCCUUUGAAACUAGGUGACUAGAAUCUUGGAGAGGUCAGUGGAAUUCCGAGUGUAGAGGUGAAAUUCGUAGAUAUUCGGAAGAACACCAGUGGCGAAGGCGACUGACUGGACAAGUAUUGACGCUGAGGUGCGAAAGCGUGGGGAGCAAACAGGAUUAGAUACCCGAGUAGUCCCUGUCUCUUAUAA